CAACGGAUCUCUUGGUUCCGGCAUCGAUGAAGAACGCAGCGGAAAUGCGAUAACUAAUGUGAAUUGCAGAAUUCAGUGAAUCAUCGAGUCUUUGAACGCACAUUGCGCCCCCUGGUAUUCCGGGGGGCAUGCCUGUCCGAGCGUCAUUGCUGCCCUCA
rnacentral:rRNA from 1 species